AAUAUUGCGCAAUGGAGGGAACUCUGACGCAGCGACGCCGCGUGAGCGAUGAAGGUUUUCGGAUCGUAAAGCUCUGUCCUUGGGGAAGAAAGCGGCCAUUUAUGGCCACUUGACGGUACCCAAGGAGGAAGCCCCGGCUAACUACGUGCCAGCAGCCGCGGUAAUACGUAGGGGGCAAGCGUUAUCCGGAAUUAUUGGGCGUAAAGCGCGCGCAGGCGGUUUCUUAAGUCUGAUGUGAAAGCCCACGGCUCAACCGUGGAGGGUCAUUGGAAACUGGGAAGCUUGAGUGCAGAAGAGGAGAGUGGAAUUCCAUGUGUAGCGGUGAAAUGCGUAGAGAUAUGGAGGAACACCAGUGGCGAAGGCGACUCUCUGGUCUGCAACUGACGCUGAGGCGCGAAAGCGUGGGGAGCGAACA
rnacentral:rRNA from 1 species